rnacentral:ncRNA from 1 species
ACUCAACACUAAUUCUUUUAAAAAGGGUGAGUUAAAGUUGUAAAAGAAUGCCGCUAGAACCUUGGUUCUCGGGCGGACCCUUGAUCAGCUUGGGAGCCCUAAACUUUUUUAAAUGGAGUUU